rnacentral:lncRNA from 10 species
CUGCCAUGCAAGUCUUCAAAGAACCCUGAUUCCCUACAGCCUCAGAGCAGACUGUGCUGAAAAUUAGGCACCAGGUUUAAUUGAACUACAAAGCAGAUUGAAUAUGCAGCAGGGACACAGCUGUCCUACACCGAAUUCAAGGCCAUGGCAGGACCAAUCAAAUCCGAACCCGCUAAAGGAGGCUGAUUUGAAUGGAAGAGAGAGCCACAUUUAUACACAAAGCAUCUGAGUGAGUGGCAGCAGGAUUUCAGCCAAUGACCCCGGCCGGGUCCCACUCCCUACACUGAUGAUGGACUUCACUGUGAACAGCAUACUUGUAGGGGUGGGGGAUGGUGGUGUAACGAGUAAUUCCCUCUCAUAAGGAGGCCAGAGACCCACUGACAAACAUGAAGCUCUGGUUCAGAUCCAUUGAGACAAAAAAAAUAAAAAUAAAAAUAACCCGGACCGCUUGAGUGAAUAGUCAGGAACUAUACAAGAUUUGUGUUUUUGAAAAAUUCUCCACGUCAGUGUACAGUGGAAUGAGGAAAUGCCAUUGUGGGGGGAGGGUAAGGAGACAUAGAUGCCUUUCUGUAAAAUUAAUUAACAAAUUAGUGGUUGACGUAACAUUCUCUCCGUUGAUUCUCUUGUCUCCGGGACGAAGCGCACACUCUGCCGCUGACUGCGCCUUUUGACUCAUCAGUAUCACUCACAUCAUCUGUUGCCUCCUGUCUAGCUUUUUUUUUAGUCUCAGAUGAAACAACUUGUGCCUCUUCUUUCAGCUUGGUUUCCUUGUUUGUUGAUGCAAUGGGAACCAACCAUCUGCCUAAUCAUUUAAAGAAAAUUUUUUAAUCAGGCUUUUUGGGUGAUUUAAUCCAAAACUCACACUUUUCCCCCAUUUUCAAAAAAAAUGAAUCUUACUCGUGAGGACAAAACAUCAAACCACAGUUCGCUCCAAAUUGUUCUCGAUGUUAUAUUUUUAACAGAAUCCCAGGCAUACAUAAUAUUAAAAAUUACAUCCCUGAUGCUAUUGUGAGAUUAAAAGUCUGGCAUGGUGCCUGGAUAAUGGAUCAUAUGAUUAUAUUGCUUACAAAACCUCUUCUGCAAUAUUUCAGUUUCUAAGUAACACCCUCAACCAUGGACUAAAUCAAUGGGGAAAUACUAACAGCCAGAAAAGAAAUAAUGGAACCCACCCUAAGAAAGCAUCAACAGGAUAGCUUUAUUUUUAUUGCGUGAGCUUUUGAUUCUGUGGCGCAACCA